AUACUUACCUGGCAGGGGAGAUACCAUGAUCAUGUAGGUGGUUCACCCAGGGCGAGGCUCAGCCAUUGCACUGAGGCUGUCUGACCUUUGCGAGAUUCCCCAAAUGUGGGAAUCUCGACUGCAUAAUUUCUGGUAGUGGGGGACUGCGUUCGCGCUCUCCCCUG
rnacentral:snRNA from 1 species